rnacentral:rRNA from 1 species
UACAGAGGUCUCAAGCGUUGUUCGGAUUCAUUGGGCGUAAAGGGUGUGUAGGCGGCGCGGUAAGUCGGGUGUGAAAUCUCGGGGCUUAACUCCGAAACUGCAUUCGAUACUGCCGUGCUUGAGGACUGGAGAGGAGACUGGAAUUUACGGUGUAGCGGUGAAAUGCGUAGAUAUCGUAAGGAAGACCAGUGGCGAAGGCGGGUCUCUGGACAGUUCCUGACGCUGAGGCACGAAGGUCAGGGGAGCAAACGGGG